AGGGGGGCGCUCCCGCCGCAGCCCUUCCUUGGGCGGCCUUCCCCGCUGCGUAGGCGCCGAGCCGAGCGGGGCGCUACGGCUCUGUCCUCAGCGGCCCUGCGCAGCCGCCUCCUCCCGCGGGAGGACGCGGAUGUGCCCGGCAGAGGCGGCAGAGGCACCGGAGUGCUCCAGGCCGUGCCCGCGUCCGGCCGCCCGAGGAGUCUCCCCGAGUCGUUUCGGGUAAUUUAUUAAGCAUCUCUAUUGCUAACAAUACAGAAGAAGGAGUAACAUCUGUCUUACUUUGAUUCUACAAAGUUCAUCUCAAAAGAGAGAGCUCUCAGCCUGAAGUUUCAUAUGAAUCCAGCUCAGUCCUGGAAUACUAUACCAUCAGAGUUCUCUCUGCAUUAUAGAGAAGUUCAACUGUACAGCUAAUAAACUUCACUUAGUCUGCCUAUUAAGAGAGGUUUUACCUUUUUUUAAUUCUCCUCUCCAUCCCACUGCAGGGGGAAGGAGGAGGAGUGAGCGAGCAGCUGCGUGGUACUUAGUUGCUGGCUGGGAUUGAACCAUAACACUAUCUAAAUGUUCAGUGACCAACGAUGAAUAAAUCACUAGCCUUCCAAUCAACAAAUCACUUUUUUUUUAGGGUGUAGGAACAUAUGUAUUUGAAAGAAUUACUAUAAACUUUCCAAGUCACACAGGUACUGACAGGUAAACUCCCAUUUUUUUAUGAAAUUCUCCUAUCAUAGUUGCAACUUCAAUAGCUGUCACUUUCUUGCUGUUUUGUAUACACCAAGCUUUUCUCUGUAAAUGUCAGAUUAUGCACACUGAUACCUUUCUGAAGUUAAAAAGUUCUGUUCUUUUAACUAUAAGCCUUUUUGCCUUUUGGACCCGUUACGUAUUAGAUGGAGACUGUCUGGAGUGUAAAUUUGAGUCUUCUCCAGAACAAUAAAGUAGAAAUCAAUAUUUUAAGCAUCCAAAAUUGACAUCACACACACAACAUGCUGCUUGCUGCAGUGUAGUUCCUUGCUGUUCUCCAUGGCUUUCUACCCUGUGUGCCGAGAGGGUCAGAACUGCCCUCCUUACACUAAACCUCCACCUAGCAGGGAGUGCAUACUUGGACCCUGUUGAGCUCUGACCCAGGCAUUUUAGACUGAACUGUUUUCACGACCUGACUGGUUAACAGUGGCUAAAGCUUUAUCUUUGCUGUCAUAGUUUUGUAACCCUCCCCUUUGGGAAAUGGCAAUACACCCUUCCUCUUACUGUUUUCUUUGACUGUUUCUAUGGCUGAAACACUAAUUCAAACUGCAAACGUUACAUUCAGUCCACCAUCUGCUAGCCAAAUAUUAGAGAUAUACAAAGUUUUACUCAGUAGUCUCGUUUCCAGUCCCUCAAGUUCCCCUUGAAGCUUCUAAGCACAUCUCCGCCUCCCGGGAAUGUGAAGACCAGCCCUUUGGGAUGCAGCACCAUCUAGUGAGGCAAACUAGCUCAGAUCUUCACGGGGCCUUUGAAAGGAUGCCACCACCGGUAGUCACAGUGGUACGAGCUGCUUUUCACAAGAGACCAGUGUUUAUUAGUCAUCUGGAAUCUAUCACGGAGAGCAAUUACUGCUACAUUUAAAUAUUUUGCUGUGCUUUGCCACACUAGCCAAAGAGCUUCCCGUGGUAGAUUCCACAUAGAUUCUUGUAUUUCAGUUGUCUUGUAAAAUUCGUCCCUAUACCCAGUUUCUAAAUCCCAGCAUCAGCACCUUUGUGCCAUGUCUCUUCAUUGCAGCCUUCGUUUUCUCCUGCCUCCAAACAGACAUCUGAGGAACCCACUCCCUCUUGUGUUAAGCCAUUUGCUGCCACCUAAAUGCCUAGCCAUUAUCCCUGGAAUUAACUCUGUGCAUAUGAAUCGCCUGAUUCCUGCUAACGCCUUCCCAUACACAGUACCUGUUGGGCGAUGGAUGCACACAACUCCCAGCAGGUAACAAUAUAAAAUCUGU